GGCCUGUUGGCUUAGUUGGUUAGAGCGUCAUGGCGCGAAGGUCACAGGUUCGAGACCUGCAUGGGCCA